ACACGGGUUUGGAUUUAUGGCAGGCCUGUCCCCCUGGGUGUUUCAUAGGGCCCACGCCAGGCAGACUCUGGCCUUGAACUCUCAUCUGGCCUCCAUCCGUAGGCCACAGGCACCGAAGCAAAUUACACAGUG